GCCUAACACAUGCAAGUCGAACGGCACGCACAGGAGAGCUUGCUCUCUGGGUGGCGAGUGGCUGGACGGGCUGAGGAAUACAUCGCGAACUCUACUUUUUCGUGGGUGGAUAACGUACNGCGAAACUUACGCUAAUACCAGCAUACGACCAUACGGGUAGAAAGCAGUGGCGAUCUUCGUGACCUUGCGCGAUUGAAUGAGCCUGAUGUCAGGAUUAGCUAGUUGGCGGGGUAAAGUGCCCACCAAGGCGACGAUCCGUAGCUGGUCUGAGAGGAUGAUCAGCCACA
rnacentral:rRNA from 1 species